rnacentral:rRNA from 1 species
UCGGAUUUGGAGGUUGUGCCCUUGAGCGCGUGGCUUGCCUGGAGCUAACGCGUUAAAUCGACCGCCUGGGGAGUACGGCCGCAAGGUUAAAACUCAAAUGAAUUGACGGGGGCCCGCACAAGCGGUGGAGCAUGUGGUUUAAUUCGAUGCAACGCGAAGAACCUUACCUACUCUUGACAUCCAGAGAACUUUCCAGAGAUGGAAGGGUGCCUUCGGGAACUCUGAGACAGGUGCUGCAUGGCUGUCGUCAGCUCGUGUUGUGAAAUGUUGGGUUAAGUCCCGCAACGAGCGCAACCCUUAUCCUUUGUUGCCAGCGGUUCGGCCGGGAACUCAAAGGAGACUGCCAGUGAUAAACUGGAGGAAGGUGGGGAUGACGUCAAGUCAUCAUGGCCCUUACGAGUAGGGCUACACACGUGCUACAAUGGCGUAUACAAAGAGAAGCGAACUUGCGAGAGUAAGCGGACCUCAUAAAGUACGUCGUAGUCCGGAUUGGAGUCUGCAACUCGACUCCAUGAAGUCGGAAUCGCUAGUAAUCGUAGAUCAGAAUGCUACGGUGAAUACGUUCCCGGGCCUUGUACACACCGCCCGUCACACCAUGGGAGUGGGUUGCAAAAGAAGUAGGUAGCUUAACCUUCGGGAGGGCGCUUACCACUUUGUGAUUCAUGACUGGGGUGAAG